rnacentral:rRNA from 1 species
GAUGAACGCUAGCGGCAGGCCUAAUACAUGCAAGUCGAACGGGAUCCAGAUCAAAGCUUGCUUUGGUUUGGUGAGAGUGGCGCACGGGUGCGUAACGCGUGAGCAACCUACCCUUGUCAGGGGGAUAGCCCGGCGAAAGUCGGAUUAAUACCGCAUGACAUCAUUGAGAGGCAUCUUUCGAUGAUCAAAGAUUUAUCGGACAAGGAUGGGCUCGCGUGACAUUAGCUAGUUGGUAAGGUAACGGCUUACCAAGGCUACGAUGUCUAGGGGCUCUGAGAGGAGAAUCCCCCACACUGGUACUGAGACACGGACCAGACUCCUACGGGAGGAAGCAGUAAGGAAGAUUGGUCAAUGGACGGAAGUCUGAACCAGCCAUGCCGCGUGCAGGAAGACGGCCCUAUGGGUUGUAAACUGCUUUUAUACGGGAACAAACGUCGGUACGGGUACCGGUCUGAGUGUACCGUAAGAAUAAGGAUCGGCUAACUCCGUG